UACGUAGGGGGCAAGCGUUGUCCGGAUUUAUUGGGCGUAAAGAGCGUGUAGGCGGCCUGACAAGUCUGCUGUGAAACUCGAGGCUCAACCUCGAGAUGUCGGCGGAAACUGUCUGGCUAGAGUCCGGAAGAGGAGAGUGGAAUUCCUGGUGUAGCGGUGAAAUGCGCAGAUAUCAGGAAGAACACCUAUGGCGAAGGCAGCUCUCUGGGACGGUACUGACGCUGAGACGCGAAAGCGUGGGGAGCGAACAGG
rnacentral:rRNA from 1 species